GUCCCCCUGUGACAGGGGGACAACUCGUUAUUAUUAUUAUUAUUAUUAUUAUUAUUCUGCCUCUUUGCGUCCAUUUUUGAGGCAUUUCCGAUACUCGAAAACUCACGCAUUUUGGCACAGGCCUCAAGCUCGGCGAAAAUUUUAAAGUUCCAUAGAGGCUGGACUUUGGCGUUGUUCAGGAGCUCUAUAGCGCCCCCAAACGUAGGCAGUGGCUGGGAUGAAGUUUGUCCAAUGUACACCAACUUUGGUACGCUCAUUGACCUCCUCAUAAAGAACAAGGAUCAAUUUGAUUUAUUUGACUCCGCCCAACAGGAAGUCGGCCAUUUUGACAGGAAGUUGCAAAAUAAAAAGUUUCCCGCUGGGUUUCGGAGGGGUUAGGAUGUUUGAAAACUCCUAAAAUUUUACAGAGCUAUUUGGCCUUGGCCAUACUUUGACCGUAAGUUGGAAUUUCGUAAAUUCGUCUUUCAUCAGCUCUCUAGCGCCACCUAUUUUAUAUCAUAUUUAUGAAACGCUCUCAGCCUCUUGAUGAUUGGCAGAUUCAAUAAGUCUUUGAAAUGAUUUAGGAAUAUUUUGUCGUUUUUCUCAUGUGUAGCUAGAGGACUCUACAGCGCCCCCUAUUUUGUUUAGGCCAUUAAAUUAGCUGUAGCUGUCUCAAAAUUUCUCCAAUAUUCUCGAUUUUUGGCAACAACAUAGAAACUAUCAUCCCGCACAUAUUACCCUUUGGCUUGUACUAGCUCCGCCCAACAGGAAGUCGGCCAUUUUGAAAUUUGUGGAAUUUUUACACAUUUUUCACGAACUCAUUCAAACUCCUCCUAGAGUCUUUGUCAUAUUACCUCUAAAUUUGGUAUGGAUAGGCUCCAGACAUACAUGGUGAUAAAUUGCGAAGGAAUAGUCGAUAGCUGAAACGAUGACGUAAUGGCGGACAAUUAAUUUAAUGGAGACGCAACACUAGACCAAAGUGAAACCAUGACACGGUCAUAAAACAGAUGAUUGAAAAAUCAUGAAACUUGGUAAAAACACAAGAGACAUCAUAAGACACGUUUUUAGUAUUGGAAUGAUUGACUCCGCCCAACA
rnacentral:lncRNA from 1 species